rnacentral:tRNA from 1 species
CGGCAGGCGGGCGUUGGAUUGAAGUGCCGCGAUCAAAACGCGGUCAGUGUCGUCGAUUUGAUGUGCCAUGUCGUCACUCUGCCGA